rnacentral:rRNA from 1 species
UACGUAGGGGGCAAGCGUUGUCUGGAUUUAUUGGGCGUAAAGAGCGUGUAGGCGGCCACACAGGUCCGCUGUGAAAACUCGAGGCUCAACCUCGAGCUGUCGGUGGAAACCGUGUGGCUAGAGUCCGGAAGAGGAGAGUGGAAUUCCCGGUGUAGCGGUGAAAUGCGCAGAUAUCAGGAGGAACACCGGUGGCGAAGGCGGGUCUCUGGGCCGAUACUGACGCUGAGGAGCGAAAGCGUGGGGAGCGAACAGG